UGCUUUUGACGUUGUGAUGUUGUACC
rnacentral:piRNA from 1 species